rnacentral:rRNA from 1 species
AUUGAACGCUGGCGGCAGGCCUAAUACAUGCAAGUCGAACGAGUGGCGGACGGGUGAGUAAUGUCUGGGAAACUGCCUGAUGGAGGGGGAUAACUACUGGAAACGGUAGCUAAUACCGCAUACCAUCGGAUGUGCCCAGAUGGGAUUAGCUAGUAGGUGGGGUAAAGGCUCACCUAGGCGACGAUCCCUAGCUGGUCUGAGAGGAUGACCGGCCACACUGGAACUGAGACACGGUCCAGACUCCUACGGGAGGCAGCAGUAGGGAAUAUUGCACAAUGGGCGCAAGCCUGAUGCAGCCAUGCCGCGUGUAUGAAGAAGGCCUUCGGGUUGUAAAGUACUUUCAGCAGGGAGGCGUUACCCACAGAGAAAGCACCGGCUAACUCCGUGCCAGCAGCCGCGGUAAUUC